GUGUAGAUCGGUGAAAUCGGAGCAUUUAGAUAAGAAACGAGCGACGGUGAUAACAUCAUUGAGCUGAGAACGUGAACUAUUCGAUGCCGAAAGAAGCAGCGUGUUGUGUCUACUGAAGAAGAAGAGCUUCAAGAUUUCAUUGAGAAACAAAAAGCAUAUUAUAAGAAGAUUGAUGAAUUUCAACUUGAGGAGGAAGAGGUUGAAUCUAUUGAUGCGUGAUAUAAUAUUUUACUACUUUAGGUUAAUCCAUAAAUGUAGCAGUAGUAAUUGUUGAUUGAUGUUGAUAUAUAGUAUAUAGUGUUAAGGCAAAUGAAGCUGUUUAACAAUGAUAAUUACCAAUUACACAGAGUUAGUAAAUUGACCUUAGAAACUCUAUCUUGAAUGUGGUACAGUUUAUGUAUGAGUGUUUUAUGAAUGGGGUUUGUUCUGGAAAGAAAGAAGAAAGAAUUAGAAGAAAAAGGAAAAGUAGAGAUCAUGCGCAAGUCUUACAAAGAUUCUCUCAAAACUCUUGAAGCUGACAUCCAUUUUGCCAAUACACUACAGUGCUACUGCUCUCUAUAGGACAGAUUUUUCGGGAAGAGUGGAACUUUCAGCCCGUCAAAUGCAUUUAGCGAAGUUCCCGAGGAGCCUUCAGAAGUUAGCAGACGAGUUCGGCGUGGCUGUUGUCUUAACAAAUCAAGUAGUUUCACAGGUAGAUGGUUCUGCAAUGUUUGCUAGACCCCAAGUCAAGCCUAUUGGAGGCAAUAUUAUGGCUCAUGCAACCACAACAAGGUUAGCUCUCAGGAAAGGAAGAGGGGAAGAGCGAAUCUGUAAAGUGAUUAGUUCUCCUUGUUUGGCUGAAGCCGAAGCAAGGUUUCAGAUUUUAGGUGAAGGUGUUUCAGAUGUUAAAGACUGACCAAUUCGAGCAUUGUCUGAAACGUUGAAUUUUUUUUUUUAUUUGUGUCCUUUAGCUAGCUGUAAAAGAUUAUUUGAAACUAUCUAUUGUGUAAUUUUGCAAUAAUGUUCAGUUUUGUUGGCCCCUAUUUUCUUACCACUGUUCUUUUGGAAUUCUCUUUGCAUUUUGCGAUAGCGAUAAUUGUUGCAGUAUUGUAGCCAAGAUAGAUUGUUUAAGAAGAGACCCACUAGCCAUUCAAAAAAAAAAACCCACUUAUUGAACUUUUUGCAGACUACUACUUAUGAUAUCUUUGAAGAGUCUUGGUUUUUCUUCUUCAGCUCAAGUCAAACUGUAUAGAUCAUACUGGUUCAAUAAGAUAGGGGUGAUGGUAGUGCUUGGUUAUUGAUCACAUUUGUUCUAUAGUUUAAGGCGAAAAUGGAAAUGCAUUUGUGAAUAAGUGUGUACUAUAGGUUGUGAAUAAUGGUUUGAAUAUUCAGGAUUUAAAAAAUCUAUUUUACUCUCAUAGUCAA